rnacentral:rRNA from 1 species
GUAGGUGGCAAGCGUUGUCCGGAAUUAUUGGGCGUAAAGCGCGCGCAGGCGGUUCUUUAAGUCUGAUGUGAAAGCCCACGGCUCAACCGUGGAGGGUCAUUGGAAACUGGAGAACUUGAGUACAGAAGAGGAAAGCGGAAUUCCACGUGUAGCGGUGAAAUGCGUAGAGAUGUGGAGGAACACCAGUGGCGAAGGCGGCUUUCUGGUCUGUAACUGACGCUGAGGCGCGAAAGCGUGGGGAGCAAACAGGAUUAGAUACCCUGGUAGUCCACGCCGUAAACGAUGAGUGCUAAGUGUUAGGGGGUUUCCGCCCCCCUUAGUGCUGCAGCUAACGCAUUAAGCGCUCCGCCUGGGAGUACGGCCGCAAGGCUG